rnacentral:rRNA from 1 species
AUUGAACGCUGGCGGCGUGCCUAACACAUGCAAGUCGAGCGGCAGCGCGGGAGCAAUCCUGGCGGCGAGCGGCGGACGGGUGAGUAACGCUUGGGAAUCUGCCUGUUAGUGGGGGACAACCCGGGGAAACUCGGGCUAAUACCGCAUACGCACUACGGUGGAAAGCCGGGGACCGCAAGGCCUGGCGCUAACAGAUGAGCCCAAGUCGGAUUAGCUAGUUGGUAGGGUAACGGCCUACCAAGGCGACGAUCCGUAACUGGUCUGAGAGGACGACCAGUCACACCGGAACUGAGACACGGUCCGGACUCCUACGGGAGGCAGCAGUGGGGAAUAUUGGACAAUGGGGGAAACCCUGAUCCAGCGACGCCGCGUGGGUGAAGAAGGCCUGCGGGUUGUAAAGCCCUUUUCAGUGGGAAGAAAAGCCUCGACCUAACACGUCGGGGUCUUGACGUAACCCAUAGAAGAAGCACCGGCUAACUCUGUGCCAGCAGCCGCCGUAAAG